rnacentral:lncRNA from 1 species
UGCAUGACUUUUUACUGACUCAUUUGUCAAAACACUCUGACAUUAUCUAUGUAUGAUCAUUUUAGAGAUUGAGGAAAAUAAACUCAAGAACUGGUGACUUGCCCAGGUCACACUACUGGUGGGUAGCAAAACAGCAGCUAGAAUCUAUAGCUUCUGGCUUUCCAGCCAGUCCUUGUUCCACUACAUUCAUUACUUCUUUGCUGGACUGAAAAGCUUAGGACUUUUCCUGUAAGUAAUACGGAGCCAUUGAAGAUCUGAAGUUUCAAGGAAGUGGUAGGAUGGAUUCUCUUUUACUAUAAGAUGAGGAUGAGGAAGCGGAGGAUCAGAGCUUACGUGAUUGGCUCAGUAUCACACAGUACCACACAAUAAACGAUGAGGAGAUUCUGGCUCACAGAGGUGAAGUGAUCUGCUCAAGAUGAAAUAGCCAGCUGGUGAAAUUACUGAGACAAGCACUCAGCCCUGUGCCCAUCCUGCUGUGAUUCAGGAGUCUCGCAGAAGACAUCAGAAUGCCUUUCUCUGAGUCACAGUCUGUAUCUUCUAGAAAAGGCUGUCCAUCUUCACCCCAAGCCCACUGGCUCCUGAGAUACGACAUCCAGACCCAGUGCAGCUGGACCUGGCCCAG